GUGCUUGCUUUGGCAGCACAUAUACUGUAAUUGGAAUGACACGGAGAAAAUUAGCAUGGCCCCUGUACAAGAAUGACAUGUAAUGUUGUGAAGCAUUCCAUAUUAAA